rnacentral:rRNA from 1 species
AUAACCGCUGAAAGCAUCUAAGCUGGAAACUUUCCUCGAGAUGAGUCUUCCCUGUCGCUUUAAUCGACCUAAAGGAACGUUUAAUACUAAGACGUUGAUAUGCUGGGUGUGUAAGCGUAGUGAUACGUUGAGCUAACCAGUACUAAUGAACCGUGAGGCUUAACCUGACAACACCGAAGGUGUUU